GAUGAACGCUGGCGGCGUGCUUAACACAUGCAAGUCGAACGAAGCAUUUAGGAAAGAUUACUUCGGUUUGAAGCUCUUUAUGACUGAGUGGCGGACGGGUGAGUAACGCGUGGGUAACCUGCCUUGUACUGGGGGAUAGCAGCUGGAAACGGCUGGUAAUACCGCAUAAGCGCACAAUGUUGCAUGACAUGGUGCGAAAAACUCCGGUGGUAUAAGAUGGACCCGCGUCUGAUUAGCUAGUUGGUGAGAUAACAGCCCACCAAGGCUACGAACCGUAGCCGACAUGAGAGGGUGACCGGCCACAUUGGGACUGAGACACGGCGCAGACUCCUACGGGAGUCAGCAGUGGUGAAUAUUGCACAAUGGAGGAAACUCUGAUGCAGCGACGCCGCGUGAGUGAAUAAGUAAUUCGUAAUGUAAAGCUCUAUCAGCAGGGAAGAUAGUGACGGUACCUGACUAAGAAGCUCCGGCUAACUACGUG
rnacentral:rRNA from 1 species